GCGGACACGUGGGCCGCAUGGCGGAUUCUCCGGCAGACGACGCAAGCACAGGAAGACCGUCACGAAGGGCUCUGACGACACGCUGCGCCUUACUCGUAUUCGUGGUCAUAGGUAGCCUGUUGUUCCUUGGAGGAAUGUUUUUCAAGUUCGUCUCUAGCUCCACAGAUGACGGAAACUUCAGCAUUCAGAGGCACAGCAGCACUCGUGUCUGAUAGUAUUUCUUGAUAGACAUCUCACCCUCUGGUGAUUAAUACAGAUGACCAGCAAGACCGCAGAGCGUCUGUGUUGGCGAGAGUGGUGUAGCUUCGGCUGCCAGACGGAUACGAUGCCAGGAAUCGUCAUCGCUACGCGGACAACGACUGCCGCCAUCUGCUGCCCAUGUUCAUCUAUCCACAGCAGUUUCCCUGCAAUGAGUGCAUGGACUUCCAACACCAAAGCCAGCAUGCAUUCAGUGUGACGGUGAGAAUCGCAGACGGCACCACAAGACUGGCAAUGGUCCAUGUUUCACCACUGCAAUGUACUCGUUUAGGACUCGCUGUGAAUAAUGUUGAUGUUGCACAGUUUGCGGCAGUACCAGCUGCUUGUCAACGAAGAACGUACCUUGCAGAUCAGAGUUAAUCCGCUAACGGAAAAUAAUCCUAUAUCGCAUUUCCUCUUGUGAAGGCAAAACCAGUUUUGAAUGAAUAUUUUCAUAAGCACUGACUCUGUGGGAACAACAAUGUUGUUAAGCCAUGGAAGGCAUCGUCUAUAAAAUGAGACCUCUAAACAGUACUAACGCUCAGAGGAACUAUGUUCUUAUGUAAAAAACUCUUUAGUUUAUACUUUUUCGUAUUUAUACUUCCUUCUUAUGUUUUUUAUUGUUAUUAAAUUUAAAUUUAAACGCCUAA